rnacentral:lncRNA from 10 species
UCUCUCACCCCUAGAAGUGGAGACUGAACCACACGGGGACUAGAAGAUGAUGGAGGAGUGCCCACUCGAGCUGAUCAUUUUUGUUGCAAUGUCUCUGCUCUGUGUCUGUCAAACUAGAUGCAUGGAUUUUGAGCAGCAAGCAGCUCCGACAUUUCACUAGAGACUGCCGAGGGAGUGGUGUCCCAGGAAAGCUACGGGGCUAUAAAACUGGAAGGAAGGGAAAGGGUGACAUGGAAACACAGUGGAGAAAAUGCACCUUGGUGACCAGUGCUGCAGACCACGCGGCCCCUGUGUGUUGCAUUUACGGCCACUAUAAAACCACAGCACUAAUGCUCGCAGCUACAUUUAUAAAAGGCCAAAAGUAGAAACUCCUUAAAUGCCCAUCAAUAGCAGAAAGGAUAACACAGGCAAUAGAUGGUUACAAUGGUGA